ACGCACGCUGGCGGCGUGCCUAAUACAUGCCAGUUGAGCGCUGAAGGUUGGUACUUGUACCGACUGGAUGAGCAGCGAACGGGUGAGUAACGCGUGGGGAAUCUGCCUUUGAGCGGGGGACAACAUUUGGAAACGAAUGCUAAUACCGCAUAAAAACUUUAAACACAAGUUUUAAGUUUGAAAGAUGCAAUUGCAUCACUCAAAGAUGAUCCCGCGUUGUAUUAGCUAGUUGGUGAGGUAAAGGCUCACCAAGGCGAUGAUACAUAGCCGACCUGAGAGGGUGAUCGGCCACAUUGGGACUGAGACACGGCCCAAACUCCUACGGGAGGCAGCAGUAGGGAAUCUUCGGCAAUGGACGAAAGUCUGACCGAGCAACGCCGCGUGAGUGAAGAAGGUUUUCGGAUCGUAAAACUCUGUUGGUAGAGAAGAACGUUGGUGAGAGUGGAAAGCUCAUCAAGUGACGGUAACUACCCAGAAAGGGACGGCUAACUACGUG
rnacentral:rRNA from 1 species